rnacentral:rRNA from 1 species
AUUGAACGCUGGCGGCAGGCCUAACACAUGCAAGUCGAACGAGUGGCGGACGGGUGAGUAAUGUCUGGGAAACUGCCCGAUGGAGGGGGUUAACUACUGGAAACGGUAGCUAAUACCGCAUACCAUCGGAUGUGCCCAGUUGGGAUUAGCUAGUUGGUGGGGAAACGGCUCACAUAGGCGACGAUCCCUAGCGGGUCUGUGAGGAUGACCAGCAACACUGGAAAUGGGGAACGGUCCAGACUCCGACGGGAGGGAGCAGUGGGGAAUAUUGGACAAUGGGCGAAAGCCUGAAGCAGCGAUGCCGCGUGUAUGAAGAAGGCCUUCGGGUUGUAAAGUACUUUCAGCGAGGAGGCGUUACUCGCAGAAGAAGCACCGGCUAACGCCGUGCCAGCAGCCGCGGUAAUAC